UACAGAGGGGGCAAGCGUUAUUCGGAAUUAUUGGGCGUAAAGGGCGCGUAGGCGGCCUGGCAAGUGGAAGGUGAAAUCCCUCGGCUUAACCGAGGAACUGCCCUCCAAACUGCUUGGCUUGAGUCCGGGAGAGGUGAGUGGAAUUCCCAGUGUAGCGGUGAAAUGCGUAGAUAUUGGGAGGAACACCAGUGGCGAAGGCGGCUCACUGGACCGGAACUGACGCUGAGGCGCGAAAAGCGUGGGGAGCAAACGGGG
rnacentral:rRNA from 1 species